GGAGAGGUCGCAUAGUGGCCGAGUGCGCACGCUUGGAAAGCGUGUAUACCGCAAGGUAUCGCGAGUUCGAAUCUCGCCCUCUCCGCCA
rnacentral:tRNA from 1 species